rnacentral:rRNA from 1 species
AUUGAACGCUGGCGGCAGGCCUAACACAUGCAAGUCGAGCGGAUGACGGGAGCUUGCUCCUUGAUUCAGCGGCGGACGGGUGAGUAAUGCCUAGGAAUCUGCCUGGUAGUGGGGGACAACGUUUCGAAAGGAACGCUAAUACCGCAUACGUCCUACGGGAGAAAGCAGGGGACCUUCGGGCCUUGCGCUAUCAGACGAGCCUAGGUCGGAUUAGCUAGUUGGUGGGGUAAUGGCUCACCAAGGCGACGAUCCGUAACUGGUCUGAGAGGAUGAUCAGUCACACUGGAACUGAGACACGGUCCAGACUCCUACGGGAGGCAGCAGUGGGGAAUAUUGGACAAUGGGCGAAAGCCUGAUCCAGCCAUGCCGCGUGUGUGAAGAAGGUCUUCGGAUUGUAAAGCACUUUAAGUUGGGAGGAAGGGCAGUAAGCUAAUACCUUGCUGUUUUGACGUUACCGACAGAAUAAGCACCGGCCAACUCUGUGCCAGCCGCCGCCGUAA